CAGACUGAGAGAGAGAGCAAGACUCCAUCUCGAAAAAAAGACAAAAAAAGAAAAAAAAAAGGAACCCAGCUACCAUUCUGUAAAGAAACUCACACAGCCACAUGGAAGGGCCAUGUAUAGGUGUUCCAGCUUACAGCUUCAGGUUAUAGCUGACAGCAUGGGUCAACCACCAGUUAUGGCUCGUAGAUGAUUCCAAUUAAGUUACCCCAUCUUUGAAUCUUUCGGAAUGAGGCUCCAGAUGUCAAGAAACAGAGACAAGCCAUCCUGCUGGUCCUUUUCUAAAUUUCUCAUGCUCAGAAUCAGUGAACAUGGUAAAAUGCUAGUUGUCUUACUCUGCUAAGGGUGAGGUGAUUUGUUUUGGUACAAUCAAAACCAGGAUUUUCUCCACCUGCCUUGAUUGUUGUUGUCCAAGUACCUCAGUCCCUCCAUAGGCAUAGGAUUUGGGCACUAAAGCUGCAGCCCAAACCCUUAAGGUUACCAUCCAUUGAGUGUUUACUGUGUGCAGUGGCAGCUGACACACGUUUUGCUUGCAAUUAGUCCUCACAGUACAGGAAGCUAUCUUCCUCCUCCUUUCUUUUCUCACUUCCCCACUUGUUUUGCUGAGUUGAGAGGAACUUGGUGAUAAUCUUUUACUACCAACUCCGUUCUUGAAGAAGCGUGGUAGGGGGACCUGGAGCUGCAUAGUGGACCUCAGCCCUGCAAUGCCUUAGUCUCCCCUAAGCUGCUCCUCAUUCCCCACAUCCUCACUGCCAUGGCAUUGCUACCAUGCUGAGGGGUUAGAGACGGCAUUCUGGGGUCACACCUGGCUCAAUAGUAGAGACAGCUGCUCUGCUGUCAGGCUGAGGGAAGCCUGCCCCAGCACCAUCCGCUCCAUGCCAUAGGCAUAUGAGAGCUGGGCUCAGUUAGUAUCAGAGGGGAUCCAGCCAAACCCUCUGCAUGUUUCUUGUAAAUUAGCUCUACCCUUAGCAGUGGACUCAUGAGGCUCUCUGGAAUGUGCUAUUCCAUCCUGCACUGAUCCAGUUGGCACCUGCCAUGGCACCUCUAGUUAGCAAGUUUUCUAAUUUCCCUCUCCUGAGAAGGGUGCAUGUGCUUGUAUGAUCAGUAGCCCCAGAAACUACCACUUGAGGCCUUUCUACAUGACAGGGGAGAGGUCAGGGUUGACAGAAUUCAAAAGUACUUCACUUGGAGCACCUAAUGCUCUGGAACAGAGGGUGAACAAGUUAAGCAUAGAGACCUGCAUCAAGAAGGAAGGACACAGUUCUGGCUGCAGCCUUUCAUGAGGGAACACUGGCAAGGCACAGCUCCUGUGGGCCUCAUCACCUGACUUUCCCUGCUUUCCUAAUAAGAGCUGUGAAGAGGAGGGUUGAGGAAUAAAAUGUAAUGCCAGUAAUGGAGGUACCAUUCAGAUCUCACACAUAGACAUGGAAACAUUACUUAAAAUCUGUCAUCUGUAACUUAACUGGAAAUGGCAUUUACUAUUAUCAAGGGGGAAAGUGGUUUUGACUAAGCUGGUCACCAGCUCAGAAACCUCUGGUGACUACAUGUUGCCCAAAGUACUGAUGCUGGAGUUUUAUAUGGUGUCGAGUGUACUUCAGCCAUCUUCCCAGAUUGCAGCCUGCUAGUAAUCCUGUACUCAAGAGCUAGUAAUGUGAUUUUGGAUAAGGCCUAUUCUGGGUCUGCACUUUGUCUUUUGUAAAAUGAAGAGCCUAACCUAGAUGGUCUUGAGGUUUUCAGAGCUAAAAGUAAUCUUAGAUUCUAUCCUCCUUCACCCCCUAGUGCCCAACACUCUGCUGGGUAACGAGCAUGUGCUUGAUGGGUACAUUGAUAGGCUCACCAGGUAAAGCAGACCAAGCCUUUCUGCUCCUUAUCAUCCCUAAACUUAAAAUUUUUCCUUUUGGAAGCUCUUCAUGGAUUCAAGGAAGGUCUCUUGGCCAUUCCUUUUUUUCAUAGGGGAUAAGUGAUGCUCCUUUCUUCCUGAACCUUCUAACACAAGUCAUCAAAGCCUAACUUGACAUGCAUGCCCUGAAGUCCCUUCUCUUGCCUCCUAGGACAGGGCAAAUCACAGUUAGUAUUUGGUUUUCCUGCCAUACAGUUCACUGGCUUCAGGGAAUCUGUGGGGAAGAAGGGGACACUCCUAUUGGUUUGUACAUUUUUGAGAUUCAGCCAAACAAUAGUGAGCUAAGACUUCCUUAAGCUGAGAUAAGGGCCUUUGCUCCAUUUCCUGAACAUUUCUCUAAUGUUGCCCUUUCCACAAGAGCAGGAACUGGGUCUUAUUUCUAUUUGUAUGUCCAGCAUCUAGCACAGUAACUCUUAAGUGGAUGCUCACAAAUACUUAUUUUGAGCAAAGCAAAAAGGAAUUGUUUUUCAUUCCUGCCUCUAACUGUUGAAAAUAUUGGCCAUGCAUGGUGACUCAGGCUUGUAAAUCCAGCACUUUGGGAGGCUGAGGGAGGACGAUUGCUUGAGACCAGGAGUAUGAGACCAGCCCGGGCAACUUAGUGAGACCCUAUCUCUACAACAACACAAAGUCAGCUUGGCAUGGUAGCAUGAGCCUGCAGUCCCAGCUACUUGGGAGGCUGAGGUGGGAGGAUCACUUGAGCCCAGGAGUUCAAGGUUGCAGUGAGUUAAGAUUGCACCACUGCCCUUUUGUGCCAGUUACUGCUGCGGCAGGUCCAUGUGUGCAGUGAGUAGCACUCUUCCUGGCCCAGUAGCACCAAAGCCCCGGGUUUGACUGAGUCUGUGCUGCGAUGGACCCCAACACCAUUAUCGAGGCCCUGCAGGGCACCAUGGACCCAGCCCUGCGAGAGACCUUAGAGCGCCAGCUCAAUGAAACACACAAGUCUCUGAACUUUGUCUCACCGCUACUCCAGAUUACUGUUGGAACAACUGGAUUUACCUGUGAGACAGGCAGGUGUUACGUAUUUGAAAAAUAUAACACAGUAUUGGCUUGGUCGAGAAACAGCACAAGGGUAUAUAUCCCCUUAUACUAUUCCAGAAGAAGAUUACCAUUGUAUUUGAGAAAAUAUUGUAGAAGCCAUUAUCCAUUCUCCUGAGCUCAUCAGGGUACAGCUUACUACAUGCAUUCAUCACAUCAUCAAACAUGAUUAUCCAAGCUGCUGGACAGCCAUUGUGGACAAAAUUGGCUUUUAUCUUCAGUACGAUAACAGUGCUUGUUGGCUAGGAAUUCUUCUUUGCCUUUAUCAGCUUGGAAAAAUUAUGAGUAUAAAAAACUAGAGGAGUGGAGUCCAUUAGUAACAGCAAUGCAGCAUUUUCUGCCAGUUCUAAAGGAUCAUUUUAUCCAGCUUCUUUCUGACCAGUCUGAUCAGUCUGUCAUCAUCCAGAAACAAAUAUUCAAGAUCUUCUAUGCUCUUAUUCAGCAUAUACUGCCACUGGAACUGACAAACCAACAGAACCUGACAGAAUGGAUAGAAAUUCUGAAGACUGAAACACUUCGAAUUGAAGAAGACGAUCGACCUGAGUUACCAUAGUGAAAAUGCAAGAAGUGGGCCUUACAUAUUUUAGCAAGACUUUUUGAAAGAUAUGAAAGCCCUGGCAAUGUUUCCUAGGAGUAUAGUAAGUUGGCUGAAGUAUUUCUGAAGGCAUUUGUUGUUGGUGUCCAGAAAGUUUUAUUAAAGGUGUUAUAACAAUACAAGGAGAAGCAAUAUAUGGUUCCUCAAGUUUUACAACAGACAUUAAAUUCUAUUAAUCAAGGAGUUUCUCAUGCUCUCACCUGGAAGAAUCUGAAACCCCAUAUACAAGGCAUUAUCCAAGAUGUUAUUUUUCCAUUGAUGUGUUAUACAGAUGCUGAUGAGGAACUUCGGGAAGAAGACCCUUACGAAUAUAUACGCAUGAAGUUUGAUGUGUUUGAAGAUUUCAUUUCUUUUACCACUGCUGCCCAGAAGCUUUUGUUUACAGCCUGUAGUAAGAGGAAACAGGUACUUCAAAAGACUCUGGGAUUUUGUUACCGGAUUCUUACAGAACCAAAUGCUGACCUUUGAAAAACAGAUGGAGCCCUGCAUAUGAUUGGGUCUUGAGCUGAGAUACUUCUGAAGAAGAAGAUCUAUAAAGAUCAGAUGGAAUACAUGUUGCAGAAUCAUGUAUUCUUUCUCUUCAGCAGUGAACUAGGCUAUGAGAGCAAGGGCUUGCUGGGUGCUUCACUAUUUUUGUGAAGUAAAGUUCAAAAGUGAUCAGAACCUUCAGACAGCUUUAGAGCUAACAAGAAGAUGUCUGAUUGAUGAUAGAGACAUGCCUGUGAAAGUGGAAGCUGCCAUUGUCUUUCAAGUAUUGAUCAGCAAUCAAGAAAAAUUUAAAGAAUAUAUCACACCAUUCAUCAGACGUGUAAUGCAGGCUCUUCGUCAUAUUAUAAGAGAAACAGAAAAUGAUGACCUUACCAAUGUAAUUCGGAAAAUGAUCUGUGAAAAUAGCGAAGAAGUUACUCUUGUUGCAGUAGAAAUGACACAAUAGUUGGCAAUGACAUUUAGCCAAGUAAUCCAGAUCGGGCCUGAUAAAGAAGGUAGUGAUGACAAAGCAGUUACUGCUAUGGGAAUUCUGAAUAUAGCUGACACACUUCUUAGUUGUAGUUGAAGAUCAUAAAGAGAUAACCCAACAGCUUGAGGGAAUCUGCUUACAGGUCAUUGGUACUGUUUUACAACAGCAUGUCUCAGAUUCCUAUGAGGAGAUAUUCUCUUUAGCGUGUAGCCUGACAUGUCAACAAAUGUCUCCACAAAUGUGGCAGCUACCACCCCUUGUAUUUGAAGUCUUUCAGCAAGAUGGCUUUGAUUACUUUACAGAUAUGGUGCCGCUCCUUUAUAAUUAUGUAACAGUUCUUAGCAAGACACUUCUGUCUGAUACCAAGUAUCUUGAAAUGAUAUACAGUAUGUGCAAAAAGGUUCUUACAGGAGUUGCAGGAGAAGAUGCAGAGUGUCAUGCGGCAAAAUUGUUAGAGGUCAUCAUUCUGCAGUGCAAAGGGCGUAACAUUGACCAGUGCAUUCCCUUAUUCGUGCAAGCAGCCUUAGAAAGACUGACGAGAGGUUAAGACAAGUGAACUUUGAACUAUAUGUCUGCAAGUUGCAAUUGCAGCUUUGCAUUAUAAUGCAUAGCUAUUACUCAAUACCUUAGAAAAUCUUCACUUCCCUAAUAAUGUUGAACCAGUUACAAAUAAUUUUAUGAGACAGUGGCUUAAUGAUGUUGACUGUUUCUUGAGGCUUCAUGACAGAAAUAUGUGUGGUCUUAGUCUCUGUGCUCUUAUUGAUAUGGAACAGACACUCCAAGGUUUGAAUCAGGUUUCUGGACAGAUUUUGCCAGCUUUUAUCCUUUUAUUGAAUGGAUUGAAAAGAGCAUAUGCCUGCCAUGCUCUUUUGUCCAAAAAUGACAGUGAUAAUGAUGAAGCUGAAUAUGAUGAUGAAACCGAGGAACUGGGGAGUGAUGAAGAUGAUAUUGAUAAAGACGAGAAAGAACAUUUGGAGAUUCUGGCUAAGCAGGCAGGUGAAGAUGGAGAUGAUGAAAAUUGGGAAGAAGAUGAUGCUGAAGAAACUGCUCAGGAAGGCUAUUCCACAGUCAUUGAUGACGAAGAUAACCCUGUUGUUGAGUAUCAGAUAUUUAAAGCUAUCUUUCAGACUAUUCAAAAUCAUAAUCCUGUGUGGUAUCAGUCUCUGACUCAUGGUCUUAAUGAAGAACAAAGAAAAUAGUUACAGACGUAGCAACUCUGGCUGAUCAAAGAAGAGCAGCCCAUGAAUCCAAAAUGAUUGAGACGCACAGAGGAUACAAAUUCAGUGCUCCAGUUGUGCCAAAUUCUUUCAAUUUUGGAGGCCCAGCACCAGGGAUGAAUUGAUUUAUCUCUUUCUUUCCUGCUGUGUGAUUGUAGUGAAGAGCUUGUGUUCCUCCUAGCAGUGGUUCCAGAACCGGUUCAUGUUAUCUAUUCGAAACUAAUGAUCAAUAGAUGGACAGAAAAAAAAAUCACAACAAUAAUCCCGGGAGAUAGGACCUGACCAUGCAACCUGGCACUGGAAAAGAAACUGGCGGGAUUUUGGGGGUGGGGAGGAUUGGAGGUGCCUUAGGGGGUGUAUUUUCUUUAUUUUUUGAAGAAAGUAAGAUCCUGACUCUGAAGCUUCAAAG